GGGGGUGUGGCUCAGUGGCACAGCACUUGCCUAGCAGAAGCAAGGCCCUGGGUUCAAUCCUCAGCACCUCAA
rnacentral:tRNA from 1 species